rnacentral:lncRNA from 1 species
ACCUGCUUGUAGGUCAAAAGUUAUUUUAAGCUUUUUAAUCUUUGAAUUAAAGAUUAGAUUGUUGAAAGACCUGUAACCUAUAGGCUCUAACAGCUGGCUUUGGAUAGAAACAGGACCUUCAAGAAGAUUAGUAAGAGAACUGACUAUCUCUGACACCAACAAGAGCCUGUUUUUAAAUGCUUUUUGUUUUUUAAAGUGAAAUCACCACAGUGUCAGGUCUAGAGAGAUCAGCCCUUAUAUGGCAAAGUUUGAGGAUUCAGAGAACAAAAGCAGCCAAGUCCCAUUUUCAUGAAUUUUUCCAGCUUGAAUAUCCUUGAUCAUGCCCUUUGGCUACAAAAUUUGAUACAUCCAUCCCCUUCUCACUUUCUUUCUUGUUUUUGAGUUGUAAUGUUGUUGUUUUGUUUGACUUGUGUUAAUUUUCAGGUCCACCUAAGUAGAUACCAUCUAAUAUUCAUUGAGGAAUGUAUCACAGAAAUAUCAUUUCUUGUCUCAGGAGACUUCAUUUUUUGGACAAAAUUUAAAUUAAUUCAUUUGUGCUUUUUUUGUGGUGACGGACAUGAUAGGGAGACUUGUGUGUUGAGGAGUAAAGACAUAACUAUUUUUCUUCCAUAUAUGGAUGAUCACCAGGUUUAUAAACCCUGAUGUUUAUAUAGAAAUCCAUGGUUUCCAACCGCUUUCAUAUAUAUCAUAUAUAUUCUUAUUUGAUCCCCAUUCUGGUCUCUCUUCCUAUUUGAUGUCUUACUCUUUUUUCUUUCUUUGUUAGGAAAGGAGGGAAAAAACGUAGCAGAACAUAGAUUGAAUAACAUAAAAAUGCUUUAUAGUUUCUUUGACAGAAAUUCUCCCAGACAUAGGGACAGUAGAUUUACUUCACAAGACCCUGUUGCAACACAGCAUCAAAGACUUUAAUAACUCACACACACACACAUACACACACAAAGAAAAAAAAUAAUGUGACUCAGCUGCUUGCUGGUUAUCAGAGGAAUAUAUCAAGAGUUGAUGCGAUGAAUAUACUUUGCACUAUCUUUCAAGAAGUCUUCAAUAAAGUAUGUUUAUCUCUAUGUGCAAAAUUUCCUGUGUAUAAGCAUGUCUGUAGAUAACGUAUCCUACUUAGGUCAUAUGCUUCAAGACAGCAAAUGACCCUUAAACUUACACAGUUUAGAUAGAAGGGCUUUAGAAUUUAGCAUAUGGCUUUGUUUUUUCUUCAUCCUGUUUUUAAAAUAGAGUCAUGAUUAUGGUGAUAACUUUUGUAGAUAAUUCUGGUCCCUACAAUGAAGAACUGAAACAAGGAUCAAUAUACCACUUUUAGUGAUCAGAAAACUAGUUGAUGAUUUGCUUAUGAUUAUAUAUAGUUUAAGGUAAAAGAACAAAAACAAAGAUUUCGAGGGCAUACUGAUUUGGUGAGCUUUUAAUCUUUAGAAUGAAGGUGGGGUUGGGAAGACGUGCUACAUUUAAAGAUCAAGAGCAGGGCAUAAUGAAACAUGGAUUGGGUGCACAGAGUGGAAAGGGAGCUCUGGUUGGGUUAUUCAGAUUAAGUCAUUAAAACUUUCUACCUCUUGCUUUCCUUGUGUAUAAAAUGAAGAUAAUUUUAAAUCUAAAAUGUCUUAACAUCUCUUAUUUGUCUUACUGCUAAGAUGCAGGUACACAGAAGACCAAUCUAACACUCGAAAGAAAGGAUGAGGGCAACUUAAUCCCUAAGCAAAAACCUUCACAAGAAGAGAGCUCAGCAGGUGUAUGCUUUAGGUGCCAGAUGUGGUUUGGCCGUGUUCUCAUUCAAAUCUCAACUUGAAUUGUAUCUCCCAGAAUUUCCACGUGUUGUGUGUCGGACCCAGGAGGAGCUAAUUAAAUCACGGGGCCGCACUUUCCCCUGCUGUUCUCGUGAUAGUGAAUAAGUCUCACGAGAUCUGAUGCGUUUAUCGGGGGUUUCCGCUUUUGCUUCGUCUCUCAUUUUCUCUUGCUGCCGCGAUGUACGAAGUUCCUUUUGCCUGCCGCGAUGAUUUUGAGGCCUCCCCAGCCAUGUGAAACUGAUUGAAUUCACAGGUCCAUGUUGUAUUUCGUUGUCAUGUCUCCUUGGUUGGCAAUAUAUGAACGUAUCUCAGUCGUGGAAGACAUUGACACUUUUGAAGAGUACAGGCAAAAGAGCCAUAUCCAUUUUCAGAAAUGUCGAAGAUUAUGAAAGAGAAAUACAUGGAAAAUUAUCAAGAAACACUUAUUAACGAUGUAGAAGCUUGUCAUUCUUUCAUUGUUUCAGAAUGUCAGAAAAUCAUAUUUAUUCUGGCUUAUACUGUUAAUUGAUAUGAAAGGUAAUUAACAAUUUCUCUGUGGUUUACUUAGAGUAGUAGGAAAAAUAUCAAAUAUUGGUCUUUGCCACCUUCCCUAUGUGUCCUUGUUCUUGGUAUGGAAUCCUUUAAUUAUUUAGUAGAGAGAUUGUCACAAUUAUAAGCACAGAAGUAUCUUUGAUUUUACAUUGCAGCUGUUCCAGCUACGUUAUGAGGGGCUCAGCUCAAGGGGCUCCAGGUCCCAUUAUCUGGGCAAUGGAAAAGUCCAUUCUUAUUCAGCCACGGUGUACUUAGGAUCCUUAAGAGAAGCUGUGAUGUGUUUAAGGUCAAAAAGCCUUGUUUCAUCAUCCUAACCAGCAGUUUUACCAUAAUACAACCUUGAGAGGCUUAUUUUGAAGGUCUUUCAGCACUUUAUGAAAACCUCUUAAAAAAUCUCUUUGUUAUAUUUUAAGUGUUAUUAUCUUUUUAUU